rnacentral:rRNA from 1 species
CACGGGGGGAGCAAGCGUUGUUCGGAAUCACUGGGCGUAAAGGGCGUGUAGGCGGUCAGGUAAGUGGGAUGUGAAAUGCCCCGGCUCACCCGGGGACCGGCAUCCCAUACUGCCUGGCUUGAGUACGGGAGAGGAUGUGGGAAUUCCUGGUGUAGCGGUGAAAUGCGCAGAUAUCAGGAGGAACACCGGUGGCGAAGGCGGGAUCCUGGGCCAGUACUGACGCUGAGGAGCGAAAGCGUGGGAGCAAACAGG